GUUCCAGUGGCCUAGUGGUUAGAGCUUCCGCAUCGGAUGCGGGAGGUCGUGGGUUCGAUCCCAUGCCUAGUCACA